GAUGAACGUUGGCAGCAUGGAUUAGGCAUGCAAGUCGAGCGAGAAGUGUAGCAAUACACGGAAAGCGGCGGAAGGGAGAGUAAUACGUGGGAAUCUGCCCUUAGACCUGGGAUAGCAGCGGGAAACUGCUGGUAAUACCAGAUAAUGUCUAUGGACCAAGGUGUGAUUCCGUCUAGGGAUGAGCCCACGUCCUAUUAGCUAGUUGGUAGGGUAAUGGCCUACCAAGGCGAUGAUGGGUAGCGGGUGUGAGAGCAUGACCCGCCUCACUGGGACUGAGACACUGCCCAGACACCUACGGGUAGCUGCAGUCGAGAAUCGUCGGCAAUGGGCGCAAGCCUGACCGAGCGAUGCCGCGUGCGGGAUGAAGGCCUUCGGGUUGUAAACCGCUGUCGAGGGGGAGCAACUUCCAUAGAGUUAUCUUUAUGGAUUGAGUGAUCCCUGGAGGAAGGACGGGCUAAGUUCGUGCCAGCAGCCGCCGUAA
rnacentral:rRNA from 1 species